GACGAACGCUGGCGGCGUGCCUAAUACAUGCAAGUCGAACGCAGUGGGGACGGGUGAGUAACACGUGGGUAACCUCCCAUCAGAGGGGAUAACACUUGGAAACAGGUGCUAAACCGAUACUGAUGGAUGGACCCGCGGUGCAUUAGCUAGUUGGUGAGGUAACGGCUCAACAAGGCCACGAUGCAUAGCCGACAUGAGAGGGUUAUCGGGAACAAUGGGACGGGGGAAGGGCCCAGAUUCGUACGGAAGGAAACAGGAAAGGGUAUUAGGCAAUAGACGAAAGUCUAACCGAGCAAUGCCGCGUGAGUGAAGAAAGUUUGCGGAUCGUAAAGAUCUGUAGUAAGAGAAACGAUAUCUAACAAGAGAGCCACGGCUAACUACGUGCCAGCAGCCGCGGUAAUAC
rnacentral:rRNA from 1 species